ACGGAAGGCAGCAGUGGGGAAUAUUGCACAAUGGGCGAAAGCCUGAUGCAGCGACGCCGCGUGAACGAUGAAGUAUUUCGGUAUGUAAAGUUCUAUCAGCAGGGAAGAAAAAUGACGGUACCUGACUAAGAAGCACCGGCUAAAUACGUGCCAGCAGCCGCGGUAAUACGUAUGGUGCAAGCGUUAUCCGGAUUUACUGGGUGUAAAGGGAGCGCAGGCGGUACGGCAAGUCUGAUGUGAAAGCCCGGGGCUUAACCCCGGUACUGCAUUGGAAACUGUCGAACUAGAGUGUCGGAGGGGUAAGCGGAAUUCCUAGUGUAGCGGUGAAAUGCGUAGAUAUUAGGAGGAACACCAGUGGCGAAGGCGGCUUACUGGACGAUAACUGACGCUGAGGCUCGAAAGCGUGGGGAGCAAACAGGAUUAGAUACCCUGGUA
rnacentral:rRNA from 1 species